GGGAGAGAACAUUGGAUGCCCUAAAAACUGCCUUGAAUGAUAAGAGCAGUCUAUACAAGACUAGGGUCAAAUCAAAUAAAAACUACGUUGUGAAGUACUCCUUACGUGGAUUUCCACAAGCGUUCCAGGUAUGGACGUACGAGAUCCUAGCUUCAUCGAUAGUUGGGAACAUUGCGAAGCGAAGGAGCAAGGUGGCUUUGCCCCGCAUAUUAUGAUGGUCAUGCUCCCACUCAGUGUCCUUCAAAGUACUCGAGAGAGAGAUAUUCGAGUCUAACAAUAUAAAGGUUAAAGAGGAUACUGUGAUGUCAAAUGCUGAAAGGAAGUUUUGG